AUUGAACGCUGGCGGCAGGCUUAACACAUGCAAGUCGAACGGGGUGAUGGUGCUUGCACUAUCACUUAGCGGCGGACGGGUGAGUAAUGCUUAGGAAUCUGCCUAUUAGUGGGGGACAACAUCUCGAAAGGGAUGCUAGUACCGCAUACGUCCUACGGGAGAAAGCAGGGGAUCACUUGUGACCUUGCGCUAAUAGAUGAGCCUAAGUCGGAUUAGCUAGUUGGUGGGGUAAAGGCCUACCAAGGCGACGAUCUGUAGCGGGUCUGAGAGGAUGAUCCGCCACACUGGGACUGAGACACGGCCCAGACUCCUACGGGAGGCAGCAGUGGGGAAUAUUGGACAAUGGGGGGAACCCUGAUCCAGCCAUGCCGCGUGUGUGAAGAAGGCCUUAUGGUUGUAAAGCACUUUAAGCGAGGAGGAGGCUCUUUUGGUUAAUACCCAAGAUGAGUGGACGUUACUCGCAGAAUAAGCACCGGCUAACUCUGUGCCAGCCGCCGCAGUAA
rnacentral:rRNA from 1 species